AGAAUGCGUACAACCAUUCUUGCACUUGAUUCAAAUGCUAGUGGAAACCACUAGCUUCCCCUCUCAUUUUCAUUAGGACCAUUUCAUUAUGAGAGUAUCUGAAUCCAUCCUGCUUUGUGACGCCAUAUACUGUCAUUGGUUGACACCAGAUUCACCACCUACUGAUGGUGUGCAAGCGAAAGGCUGCAGGAGGUGCAUGUGGUCAUUCUGAUCCAUAUCUACAAGUUGAUAGAAAGGAUGAUUUGGCUGCAAAUGAGAUUCUCCAUCAGUACUAAUGGGGAGCAUCAUGUCCAAUUGCUUGUUUUUUCGGUGUUGUUGAUGGACAACAUGUUGGAAAAGUUUAGGUAAAGAUACCAAUCCAAGAAGUGUAGGUAAAGAAUAACUAUGGUGGAGAAUGGUACCUAUGGUGCACAUCAGGGAAUGCCUUCCAUUAACUCGUCAUGGAUUCCAGUGGAACUCUGUUUGUACUAAAGCUCGGAUUCUCCUGGACAGAAGUUUCAUACCUUUAUUUCGUGGCUUGUUAGUUGUUACGUUGAGUUUCACACAAAGGGAGAAGUAUUUACCUUGUUACUUUGGGUUUCACACAAAGGGAGAGGUAUUUACCUUGAUGUCAUCUUUUGAUGAUUGCU
rnacentral:lncRNA from 1 species